AUGCCCGGAGAUCUUAGCCAGUGGAUAAUGAAGCAUUAUGACCCUGAGAUUUCGCAGAUAGUCAUUCCAGAAAGGGGGAAGAUUCAUGUAGAUGCCGCGAGUGUCCGUAGGAUAUGGGGUUUGCCAAAUAGGGGCAGGAAGGUGUGCUUUGACAAUCAGCCUAAAAUCACAAAGGCAAUAUACAAUAUUUACAACAUCACUUCCAAGAACUCCCCAACUCUCACAGAAUGGUGCAAGAUGAUCAUAGACAUGGGAGGAUCUUAUGAUGAUGACUUUGCCCGCGCUUGGCUAGCUCUUGUUUUUUCGUGCUUCCUUGCCCCUUCGGUCAUGGAUGUCAAUGGAAUAACGGAAACGGAAACCAAUAUAUGCUAG
rnacentral:rRNA from 1 species